rnacentral:rRNA from 1 species
GAUGAACGCUGGCGGCGUGCCUAAUACAUGCAAGUCGAGCGGUAAGGCCCCUUCGGGGGUACACGAGCGGCGGACGGCUGAGUAACACGUAGGAACGUACCCCAAAGUGAGGGAUAAGCACCAGAAAUGGUGUCUAAUACCGCAUGUGAUCUUCGGAUUAAAGCUCCGGCGCUUUGGGAACGGCCUGCGCAUGAUUAGCUUGUUGGUGAGGUAAUAGCUCACCAAGGCGAUGAUCAUUAGCUGGUCUGAGAGGAUGAUCAGCCAGACUGGGACUGAGAACGGCCCAGACUCCUACGGGAGGCAGCAGUAGGGAAUUUUCCACAAUGGGCGAAAGCCUGAUGGAGCAACGCCGCGUGCAGGAUGAAGGCUUUCGGGUCGUAAACUGCUUUUAUCUGUGACGAA